rnacentral:rRNA from 1 species
AGUUGACUUCUCCCGUCGUCGUCGACUCUCCGUCGAUCGAUCUGUAUAAAUUCCAUGGCGGGCGACCCGAGAUAAAACUCUAGCUGGGAUCCUGGGACCAUCGCCGGGCGAGGCGAAGAUGGGGAGAGGAGCCGGCCGCGUUUUGCUGAUUGCCAUGGCGCUCCUCCUCGCGCUGCACACCAGGCCGGCAUCGGCUCUCACCAAGUCUUACUUGGUGAUGGCCAGCCAACGGCCGGCCUCUUGGUCCGAUUUGCUCACUCCAAUCACCAGCCAGUUCCGGAUAAUCUAUACCUUCGAACAAAUCAACGGGAUCGGGCUGCAGAUCGACACCGUUUUCGUACCAGACCUUAAACUGCUCACAGGGAUACUGGUGAUCGAAGACAAGCUUCGGCAGGUCAGAACGACCCACUCGUGGGGGUUCCUAGGCCUCAAGGGAUCAGACGGCGAGACGUCCAACGAGUGGAGCAACGUCCCCAACUCCGGCGAGGGCGUCAUCAUCGCCAAUGUCGACACGGCUCUGACGGCCGCUUAGCCGCCCUCGGGACCGUGACGCCAUCUCCGCCUUCAUCGCCGACCUCCGCUCGAUGGCCGUCCAUCUGUCGCCGCCCCCUCCGCCGCCACCUCCUGAGCCUUAUUAGGCAUGUGUUGCUCGCAGCUCUGGCUUCGACCUUGGGCCGGGCUGAGCUGUCUUUUAUAUUGUGUUGAGUUUUUUUGGGCUUGUUGAGCUGCGCCCUCAGCAGUACCUUUGGACCUCUGUUGCGUGACUUGUGUGUGUGUUUAUUGAACUCGUCUUGUAUGUGCUCUUGGC